rnacentral:lncRNA from 10 species
CCAACUGGACCAUGGAUACAAGGCCCACAUCCUUGUGAUGUCAGGGUGCUGAGUUGGGAGGAACUUGGGUCCCUGGAAGCCUUGAGCAGGAGGCUCACCCCGGCUCUGUACCAUCCACCUCAACUUUAUUGGGAUGAAACUAACUUUUCUCUUGUUACUUUUGGUUUUUGCUUUUAUUUUGCACCAAAUGAUACAGUAUUUAGUAGGCAGGAGACACUGUGUAAAACUCUUGUCUGGGCGUGGUGGCUUAUGCCUGUAAUCCCAGCACAUUGGGAGGCCAAGGCGGGCGGAUGAUGAGGUCAGGUGUUCGAGACCAGCCUGGCCAAUAUGGUAACACCUCGUCUCUACUAAAAAUACAAAAGUUAGCUGGGCGUGGUGGCGGGCACCUGUAGUCCCAGCUACUUGGGAGGCUGAGGCAGAAGAAUCGCUUGAACCAGGGAAGUGGAGGUUGCAAUGAGCCAAGAUCGUACCAGUGCACUCCAGCCCGGGCGACAGAGCAAGACUCCGUCUCAAAACAACAACAACAACAACAACAACAACAACUCCAAGAGGCCUAUGAGUUCUUUGGAAAAGUGCCUGAAGAUAAAUAAUGGACCCCUGCUGUGAGCCAGAAGGGAAAAAAGGCAAGAGAAGAAGGCUGUCUUGUUUCUAAGUGACCAUAGGGAUCACAACACAUCGAUUAAAAGAGACUUUUCAGGUCUUUCCUGAGCACACAGAAGAUCAAGACCACACUCACUGACUUCUCAUAGUCAAGCAAUUUUGGCCAAUUAAAUGUCAGUUGGAAACUCCUGUGUCAGCUUCUCUGUGGCGGUGAGAAGUCCCUGUGUGACAUCCCAACUCUCCCCUCACCUGCGUUGGCAACCAAGAAAGCCUUGUGUUGGAGGUGGGGCCACAAGUUUAAAGCUAAGUUACCACCUCGAGGGCACAUUCCUGGAGAGCUUCCCAGGCCCACAGUGGCACGUGUAUGAGUGACAGAUCCACUUCUUUAUUACCUUUUUGAAGAACAGGAACCUUUGUCUGGAAAUUCCACAAGUAUGCCUUUUGCAAGAUUAAAAGUGCCACAAAGAACAAAAAUGAGCCCAGGACCAGAUGCAUGUUAAAAGCCAUCAGACACGUUAAGUUUCAUCUCCAUUGACCUGAAGGAGUCUCUCACCACAGCCACCACAUCUAUGCAUGUGCUGAGUCACAUGUGAAGCCAGCACAUCUCAGAGUCUCACCGAAAGCUCAUGAGCCAGUUGGAGUGUGAGGCUUCAGAAUCGCCUUCCAACUCUCUGUGCACUGCACCAGCUGCUUCCCAUAGACUCCUGGUAAAAUAUUACCUAUGACUCCAGGAUUUGCCAGUGAAAGAAGUCAACAAUAUUUUAACUUUGAUCUUAACCAAAAGGCCAAGAAGUGAUGCUAAUAUUUUCAUAUACUACGACAGUUGCAGACACACGUCUAUCAUAGCUGGGUAGUAAUCCAGGCAACUCUGCCACAAGUCAUGGGCUCAGCCACCAGUCCACGAAGUCUCCAGUCACACAUAUUGCUUCGGACUAUUCUCUAUCCCCAGUUGUCAAUUAACUAAAAUAUUAAAUGAGCCACUGAAAGCUAACUACACUGGAACACUCUCAUUUCUGCAAAGAAAAAUAUCAUAUCCCAGGAUGAAAAGGAGGAGGAAGAGGAAAGGCUAACUUAACAAGAAGCUCUUUGACAUUCUUGAAUUAGACACCCAACGUAGUCCACGCAGUACGGAGGAUGACUUCAGAAGUGCAAUUCUGAUAUGGACUUUGUCUCCCUAAGGCUUUCAGUUCCUCAUAUUUAGGAUAAAACAGAAGUUUAUGUAAAGCCAAGGGAGAGGGUCACCGGGAGAGGGAAGGAGGAACAGCAGAAGGAGAGGUCCACACAUGAAAAUACUUGGAAGCGCCCCAGGGCCUAUCAGAUGCAGGUCUUGGCGGAAAUUACCAAACAUACUUUAGACAGGCUGCUGUGUUGCUGAGUGUGGACUGGCCUCAGGGCCUGCUGAUCAAAGCAAAAGGAAGCAGUGAAAAAAACAUCACCAUGUCUUCUUAGAGUCUAAUCUGGGGGCAAGAGGCCAGCAUGCACAGUUGGUGCUGAUUUUCUUGGGCGGAUAGAGGAAAGGUGUAGGCGUGGCCAACAUUUGAGCAGCAUGUGGUUCCUCUCACACGCCAUGCUGUUUCCGGCCUCCUUGCAUUUUACUCAUGCCAUCCUCCUGGUCACUUCUUUGAGAUAUUAAGUGCAUUCUUUAGGACUCAGACUCAGCUCAAGGGUCAGUGCAUCCAUGAAGCCUUACCUGGAUCCCAGAGGGAGCUCUGUGCUCCUCCUUUGUCUCCUAUAGGACCCAGUACAUGCGUCCAGUAUUAUCCAUACACACUGAAAUGAUCUAGCAUGUGUCUUCCCAUAGGAUUUCAAAUUCUUAGAAUAUAGGAGUGAUGCCUUCUUCCUACUUAUAUUUCCAGUGUUAACAGUGCCUGUCAAUUGACUUGAAGAUAACUAAAAGUCUGGUUGUUAAGGGCUGCUUCCCACCUCCAAAUACUUCCCUGGAAGUCAUUGUAUGGGCACUGACAUUGGUAGGUCUCCACUGGCUUGUAGAUGCUUCUGAUUAUAAGGUAGUCUCAGAUGCCUUCAGAAAGUUCUAAGACUGUAUAAAACAUUUCCUUCACAACCAAUAACUGUGUAUUAUUGUUCGUGUAAUUCCAGAAGUUAUCCUUUUGAUAGAGAGCAAUUACUUUAUUGAUUGAGAGUUAGCUAAUUAUGUAAUAAAGGUAAAGAUUUGCAUAGAGAAGUGUAAGAGACAUGGAGAAGAUUCUUGGUGGGUGGUGAGGGCGGGUACAUUUACACCAGACCAAGACUGAUCUGGCUGUGGCGCUGGAGAUUAAACUGUUUAAAUAUGGGAUCCUAAGAAGACUUCUGUGCAUUCUAGACUUCAAGAGACAGAUUGCAUUUUUUUUUAGGAAAUGUAGAUAAAACCCUUUGACUGAAUGACUCUAGAAAAUAAUACUGAUUUGAGAGAGAAAGGAAAUUCUAAAACAAAAUCCUGACAGCAGAGGCAUGAAUGAUCCUCAUGAGGAAGAAAUGAGACUCUGCUUAACUACACUGUAGAUUUUGGUGUGGAAGAAGAUGGAAGGUGGGUAUAUAGCCAAAUUUUGAAUACAAUAGGGCAGCACAAAACUGUGACAACAGUGGCAGAAGGACUGAAGUACAGAAUGUGUGAAAGUUGUUGUGAAAUAAAUAGAGAGCAACAGAAAAGGACUAUUUGGGCUGGGCAAUGGUAAUCCCAGAACUUUGGGAGGCUGAGUCAGGUGGAUCACCUGAGGUCAGGAGCUCAAGACCAGCCUGACCAACAUGGUGAAAUCCCAUCUCUACUAAAAAUACAAAAAAUUAGCUGGGCCUGGUAGCGGGUGCCUGUAAUCCGAGCUACUAGGGAGGCUGAGUCAGGAGGAUCACUUAAACCCAGGAGGCGGAGGUUUCAGUGAGCCGAGAUUGCACCAUUGCGCUCCAGCCUGGGCGACAAGAGCAAAAUUCCAUCUCAAACAAAACAAAACAAAACAAAAAGAAAGAAAAAAGAAAAAAAGGACGAUUUGAACCAGGCUUAGAGUAAGAAGGAUGAAGUGACAAGACCAGAGUUUGGGCAGAUGGUGAGACAUUAACAGAUAAUAGAGACAAAGCAGUAUUUUCUACCUCUUAUUCUGUGUCUUUCUCUGGCGAGGAAAAGGAUUUUUCCUUUAGAAAUGGUAGAGAUAACGUGGUUAACAAGAAGUUGACAUCUUAGUUGAGGGAGAUCACAUAAGAGAUAUCAUAAGCUUAUUUAAAUGGCUGCAAAGAUGAUAAAGGUUAUUACUGGGUUUGCUUAUAUGACUAAGGAUAAGCUGCCGGAAAUACUUGGAGAGAAAGAUGGUACAUAGAAGAAAGGAAGAGAAUUUGUCUCAAUUUUCCAAGAAGGAGCAAAUUUGGGAUCCAGAAUACACCUAAAUUACUGUUCAUUCUGUUUUCUCAGACCGCCUCCACUUGCCUAGCCUACUCUUUCUCUUUUUGGGCUAUUUUGUCCAAUCUUUCCCCAUCACUGGACAGGGAGUGGGUACAAAAUGAGCCAGGUGGAUUGUGGCUGGGUUUCAUAGGGCUAAACUACAAAGGGGAAUUUCUAUCCAAGACAACUCAGUACACUAGGUCCUGAAAAGGCAGUUGAGAUAAAUCAUUUGGAGAAGCUGAUAUUAAAGAAACAAGGUGUAAGGAUCAAAAGGAACCAAAGGAAGAAAUGGAGUUACAGGUUUAAAAAGCUGAAAUGCGGGUGGUAGGUUGACAUCAGGUUAGAAUGAGGUCUGAAGUUGGCACAAAAAAUGAACUUCAGAAUGACUACAAAGCAAAAUAAAAACAAAAUAUUAAUGGACAAUACCAGUUUGGUCUUUAUGUAAUUGGGUAUGUGGUGCAUAGGUGGCUCAGGCUAAGGGUUAAGAAAGACAUAGAAUUCAGUUUGAUGGAUUCUUAGCUGGUUAGACAGUCACCUUCUAUGUAAGGAUGAAUUAAUUAGUUAAGAAAUAGAUGUCAGCAUAGGCAACGUUUUUAGUUGAGUGUCUGGACCUGUCAUGUUAAAUAUUCUUUAUCACUGACUUAAAUAGAAGCAUGAAAGGCAAAUAUAUUAGACCUGCAGGUGAAAAAAAUAUAAGAGGAACAGUUAAAAUGUUGGAUGGCAGACUUGAAGAAAGGAUUCCAUUUUCUCUACUUUGCCCCUGAGAGGUUAAAACUAGCAUCAACGGAGGAGCAUUUUUAGAGAGGCAGAUUUAGGCUUACCAUAAAAUGGAACUUUCUUGCAAUUAAUGGUGUACAAAGAUGAGAUUAACUUUUUAAUUUAAUUUAAUUUAACUUUAUUUGAGAUUGAGUCUUGCUCUGUGGCUAGGCUGGAGUGUAGUGGCGUGAUCUCGGCUCACUGCUUCCACCUCCCAGGUUCAAGUGAUUCUCCUGCCUCAGCCUCCCAACUAGCUGGGACUACAGGCGUGCGCCACCAUGCCCAGCUAAUUUUUGUAUUUUUAGUACAGAUGGGGUUUCACCACGUUGGCCAGGAUGGUCUCGAUCUCUUGACCUUAUGAUCCACCUGUCUUGGCCUCCAAAAGUGCUGGAAUUACAGGCGUGGGCCACCAUGCCCAGCUGAGAUUAACUUUAAUUCAACCAAUAUGUAUUGAGCUCCAUACAUGAUACUCUGCUAGAUAUAAUGACAAAUAAGAGAAUUAUUUGGCUGUAAGAGAAUUUAUGGCUAACUUCAGUAAUAAUCUGUAAAGUGCUUAUUUCUAAUAUCCUGAUUAAGGAAAGUUGCUGGAAGUGUUCAAGCCCAGACUAGGAACUGUAUCUCCUUGUAAAGGAGAUUCCUGCAAAUGGUUGAAACGUUGUGCUCAGCCAGUUGGUUUCAAACUUGACUGUGAACCACGAUAAGAAAUACAUUUACAACAAAAUCCAGUACAACCUAUAAUAAAGUUUCAUCAAACAAUGUUGCCUUUAUACCUUUGCUGUUUUCUAUUCUAGCAUUGUCUAGUCUAUUCCGUUAGAAAUAUCCUAAUAAAAGCCACUAAAUUGACUUAGUAAUGGGUUGCUACCCCAGUUGGAAGAACAUUUUGAAGUAGGAGGUGGAACUUGGCUCCAGAGGUAAGGAUUCGAACUUCAGGUGAGAUUGAGUACUAGCUGAAAUAGGGAAGAGGCCAAAGAGCCUCUCCAUAAGACACACCCACCAAUGCCAUGUCAGUUUAUCAUUGUCAUGGCAACACUCAGAUGUUAACACUCAUUUCCAUAGCAACGACCUGCCGACCCAGAAGUUACCACUCUUUGUUAGAAAUGUCUGCAUAAUCUGCCCCUUAAUUUGCAUGUAAUUACAGUGAGUAUAUAUAUUAUUGUAGACCCGCCCCUGAGCUGUUACUCUCUAACAGGCUGCCUUUGGGGUAACCCUGCUCUGCAGGAGCAGUCAUGGAGCUGUAACAUUGCCACCUCAAUAAAGCUGUUUUCUUCUACCA